AAAAUGCGAUACGUAAUGUGAAUUGCAGAUUUCAGUGAAUCAUCAAAUCUUUGAACGCAACUGGCGCUUAGAGUCAAUUACUCUAAGCACGUUUGUUCGAGUGUCGGUUAAUAUCUCAUUAUUAAUCACUAUUAUUUGAGUUUCAAUUACAUUUCGAUGAUGAUGUGAUCGUUACUUUAAAAAGAAUUAUUUUGAAUUAUUUUACAUUCUACUUUAUUGUAGUAAAUACUCAACAAAGUUAGAAAAGAAUACAUUCAUAUCUUCUUCUUUCUUAUACUCGACCUCGAAUCAAACGAGAUUACCGGCUGAACUUAAGC
rnacentral:misc_RNA from 1 species